rnacentral:rRNA from 1 species
CACGUAGGGCGCAAGCGUUGUCCGGAAUUAUUGGGCGUAAAGAGCUCGUAGGCGGUCUGUUGCGUCUGCUGUGAAAACCCGGGGCUUAACCCCUGGCUUGCAGUGGAUACGGACAGACUAGAGGUAGGUAGGGGAGAAUGGAAUUCCCGGUGUAGCGGUGAAAUGCGCAGAUAUCGGGAGGAACACCGGUGGCGAAGGCGGCGACCUGGGUAGAUACUGACGCUGAGGCGCGAAAGCGUGGGGAGCAAACAGG